UACAGAGGUCUCAAGCGUUGUUCGGAUUCAUUGGGCGUAAAGGGUGCGUAGGCGGCUCGGUAAGUCGGGUGUGAAAUCUUGGAGCUUAACUCCGAAACUGCAUUCGAUACUGCCGUGCUUGAGGACGGGAGAGGAGACUGGAAUUUACGGUGUAGCGGUGAAAUGCGUAGAUAUCGUAAGGAAGACCAGUGGCGAAGGCGGGUCUCUGGACAGUUCCUGACGCUGAGGCACGAAGGUCAGGGGAGCAAACGGG
rnacentral:rRNA from 1 species